UGCAAGUCGCGCGAGAUAAGGUAGCAAUACCUGAGUAAAGCGGCGCACGGGUGAGUAACACGUGACUAACCUACCCUCGAGUGGGGAAUAACUUCGGGAAACCGAGGCUAAUACCGCAUAAUACCCACGGGUCAAAGGAGCAAUUCGCUUGAGGAGGGGGUCGCGGCCGAUUAGUUAGUUGGCGGGGUAAUGGCCCACCAAGACGAUGAUCGGUAUCCGGCCUGAGAGGGCGCACGGACACACUGGAACUGAAACACGGUCCAGACUCCUACGGGAGGCAGCAGUGGGGAAUUUUGCGCAAUGGGGGAAACCCUGACGCAGCAACGCCGCGUGGAGGAUGAAGUCCUUCGGGACGUAAACUCCUUUCGAUCGGGACGAUUAUGACGGUACCGGAAGAAGAAGCCCCGGCUAACUUCGUGCCAGCAGCCGCGGUAAUACGAGGGGGGCGAGCGUUGUUCGGAAUUAUUGGGCGUAAAGGGUGCGUAGGCGGUUUGGUAAGUCUCUUGUGAAAACUCCGGGCUCAACUCGGAGCCUGCAGGAGAAACUGCCGGGCUUGAGUGUGGGAGAGGUGAGUGGAAUUCCUGGUGUAGCGGUGAAAUGCGUAGAUAUCAGGAGGAACACCUGUGGCGAAAGCGGCUCACUGGACCAUAACUGACGCUGAUGCACGAAAGCUAGGGGAGCAAACAGGAUUAGAUACCCUGGUAGUCCUAGCCCUAAACGAUGACUGCUUGGUGUGACGGGUACCCAAUCCCGCCGUGCCGUAGCUAACGCGUUAAGCAGUCCGCCUGGGGAGUACGGUCGCAAGGCUGAAACUCAAAGGAAUUGACGGGGGCCCGCACAAGCGGUGGAGCAUGUGGUUUAAUUCGACGC
rnacentral:rRNA from 1 species